rnacentral:pre_miRNA from 1 species
GAAAUACUCCCUCCGUUCCAUAAUUCUUGUUGAAAUAUUUCAUGUAUCUAGACACCUUUUAGGAAUAGAUACAUCCAUUUUUGGACAAUUUGAGACAAGAAUUAUGGAACAGAGGGAGUACAUC